CGGGAGUAACGCGUGGGUAACCUGCCUUGUACUGGGGGACAGCAGUUAGAAAUGACUGCUAAUACCGCAUAAGCGCACAGUAUCGCAUGAUGCAGUGUGAAAAACUCCGGUGGUACAAGAUGGACCCGCGUCUGAUUAGCUAGUUGGUAAGGUAACGGCUUACCAAGGCGACGAUCAGUAGCCGACCUGAGAGGGUGACCGGCCACAUUGGGACUGAGACACGGCCCAA
rnacentral:rRNA from 1 species